UUCGUUGAACCCGUUUCUACCAAUGCUAUGCUAUAUGGAGCAAUAAAAUGAUUGAUUAUAUAUCACAGGCAU